rnacentral:rRNA from 1 species
GACGAACGCUGGCGGCGUGCUUAACACGUGCAAGUCGAGCGGUAAGGCCCCUUCGGGGGUACACGAGCGGCGAACGGGUGAGUAACACGUGAGCAAUCUGCCCAUCACAUCGGGAUAACUCCGGGAAACCGAAGCUAAUACCGAAUACGACCACCUCCGGCAUCGGAUGGUGGUGGAAAGUUCCGGCGGUGAUGGAUGAGCUCGCGGCCUAUCAGCUUGUUGGUGGGGUAACGGCCCACCAAGGCUUCGACGGGUAGCCGGCCUGAGAGGGUGACCGGCCACACUGGGACUGAGACACGGCCCAGACUCCUACGGGAGGCAGCAGUGGGGAAUAUUGGACAAUGGGCGAAAGCCUGAUCCAGCAACGCCGCGUGAGGGAUGACGGCCUUCGGGUUGUAAACCUCUUUCAGCAGGGACGAAGCGCAAGUGACGGUACCUGCAGAAGAAGCACCGGCCAACUACGUG